rnacentral:snoRNA from 1 species
CCAACAUGGAUACCCUGGGAGGUGGGUCUCCUGGGCUCUGUCCAGGUGUUGUAGGAGAGCGCAGGGCUCUGCCUUCAGUCCCUUUUGAUCAUGAGAAGAAGCCAGGCCCUAAGUCCGAGCCCACACAUUCCUACAGCUGCUCAGAGUCCUCAGGACAACGGCUGAGGAGACAAACCAUGCGGGACACAGUC